UGGGGAAUAUUGGACAAUGGGCGCAAGCCUGAUCCAGCGACGCCGCGUGUGUGAAGAAGGCCUGCGGGUUGUAAAGCACUUUCGAUGGGAACGAAAUGUGCCGGGUUAAUACCCCGGUAAGCUGACGUUACUCAAUGAAGAAGCACCGGCUAACUCUGUGCCAGCAGCCGCGGUAAUACAGAGGGUGCGAGCGUUAAUCGGAAUUACUGGGCGUAAAGCGCACGUAGGUGGCGACGUAAGUCGGGUGUGAAAGCCCCGGGCUCAACCUGGGAAUUGCAUUCGAGACUGCAUUGCUGGAGUACGGAAGAGGAGGGCGGAAUUCCCGGUGUAGAGGUGAAAUUCGUAGAUAUUAGGAAGAACACCAGUGGCGAAGGCGGCCAACUGGCUCGAUACUGACGCUGAGGUGCGAAAGCGUGGGGAGCAAACAGGAUUAGAUACCCCCGUAGUCCCUGAGCGGGCUGGCAAGGCGCAU
rnacentral:rRNA from 1 species